CCCGACCGCUAUCGGGGUGGCGCUAAGCCAUGGGAGUCGCACAUCCCCACCGCUGUGGGGUGUGGCGAACGGCUGAGUAACGCGUGGCUAACCUACCCUCGGGACGGGAACAACUCCGGGAAACUGGAGCUGAUUCCCGAUAGGUGGGGAGUCCUGGAACGGUUCUCCACCGAAAGGGACUAGAAGGGGCUAUCGCUUCUAGUCCGCCCGAGGAUGGGGCUGCGUCCCAUCAGGUAGUUGGCGGGGUAAUGGCCCGCCAAGCCUAUAACGGGUAGGGGCCGUGAGAGCGGGAGCCCCCAGAUGGGCACUGAGACAAGGGCCCAGGCCCUACGGGGCGCACCAGGCGGGAAACCUCCGCAAUGCGGUAACCCGUGACGGGGUCACCCCGAGUGCUCCCCUUAUGGGGAGCUUUUCCCUGCUGCAGGAAGGCAGGGGUAAUAAGUGGGGGGCAAGACUGGUGUCAGCCGCCGCGGUAAUACCAGCCCCACGAGUGGUCGGGACGGUUAUUGGGCCUAAAGCGCCCGUAGCCGGCCCAGCAAGUUCCUGCCUAAAUCACUGGGCUCAACCCAGUGGCUGGCAGGAAUACUGCUGGGCUAGGAGGCGGGAGAGGCCGGGGGUACUCCUAGGGUAGGGGCGAAAUCCUAUAAUCCUAGGAGGACCACCAGUGGCGAAGGCGCCCGGCUGGAACGCGCUCGACGGUGAGGGGCGAAAGCUGGGGGAGCAAACCGGAUUAGAUACCCGGGUAGUCCCAGCUGUAAACGAUGCGGACUAGGUGUUGGACGGACCUAGAGUCCGUCCAGUGCCGCAGGGAAGCCGUUAAGUCCGCCGCCUGGGGAGUACGGCCGCAAGGCUG
rnacentral:rRNA from 1 species